rnacentral:lncRNA from 1 species
ACAACACAAGAUUUACGUGGAAAACUCCAAAUCCGGAGAAAAACCACGGCCGUUGUCAAAAAGACAACCAGAGAAAAAAUAUUCACUAUGUGGAAAAUUAUUACAACCACACUCUCAGAAAUAAUUUUCUCUCACCUAAGCCCCAAAUACACCCCAAAGAAAUACUCUCUGAAUGAAGAAAAGAAGCCGAGGAUUAGAUACACAAACCAAAUGAGCAGCACCCCUUUUUAUAGCCUAAAUUAGCUAUUAAAAUAUUAUUAUAUUUUCCACCGCCAUUAUCUUCUUCAACUCUUCCUUUUUCUUCUUCCUUGUCAAAGUUGUUUGCUUCCUUCAAACUUUGCUGCAACCAAAUUCAAUUUUUCUUUUUUUCUUUCUUUUUGACCGUGCAAAUCCAUCUCUUCUAGAAAGAAUAAAGCUCACAUUUUUUUUUACAUUCUCCCACUUGGAGAUUUGAUUAAGAACCAAUCAAUCUCCACACCAACCUUACUAUUUUCACCUUAGUCAUAAUCCUCGUCAUAGAGAAUUAUCAUACUCCACCAUAAAGAAUAUACCACUUAGAAUUAAUUACCAAUUCUAAGAAUUUUACAUCAGCACAUGUCGAAAUAACCUGCUGAAAUUUAUGGUGCAACUUCCAUGUUGGCUUUCCUGGAAAUUCAUCAGCCAUCGACAUAAAUUCCACCACACACCCUGCAUCAAUGCCAACCAUGCCUUGUGUGUAAAUCUUGUGGACCCGCUAGUAGUAAAACAUCCCCUUUCAUGGUACUAGCGGUAUACCAUGAGGAUGUCAUCAUCAUCUAUUUUACAAGGGAUCAUCGUCUCCCACGAUGAAGAGAGACUUACCACUAGCAAUACUAUCAGUAUCUGAUCUGGAGCCACUUGCCGAUCCUGCUCCAUUUCUACUAUGACAAUCUCUUUUUAAGUGAUCCGAUUGUCCACACCCCCAGCAGACUCCUUUCUUCUUAGAUUUAUCUUUCUGCCAAUUCCCUACAACUGUCAAAGCCGAGACAUCUGUAGUUUUAGUACUUUCACCACUCAGUCUUCUUUCUUCUGAGAGUAAAGUACUAGUAACUUCUUCAAGAUCUACUGUCUCCUUCCCGUACAUCAAAGUAGGUAACAAGUGUUUGUAGGAAGUUGGAAGUGACCAUAGUAACCUAAGCGCCUUGUCCUCAUCUUCAAUUUUAACUCCAAUGGCUUCUAGUUCUGACACAAUACCAUUGAGAACACUGAGGUGAUCGGAAAUUUUUGUACCUUCAGCCAUUCGCAGUGUGUGAAAUCGCUCCUUCAGGUACAAUCGAUUUGAGAUGCUCUUUGUCUGAUACAACUUUUCUAGCUUCUCCCAAAGUUCUUUCGCUGUAGGAAUUUUUCCUACAUUUGCAAGAACAUUCUUUGCUAGACACAGUCGUAUGGCACUUGCAGCUCUAUCAUCUAAUUCUUCCCAAUCUUCAUCACUUAUACUAGUUUUUCCAGAGCCACUACUGGAAGCAGGGGAUGGCUUCCCCUUCAAUGCCUUGUGUAACCCAGAUUGAAUCAACACAUCUUUGACUUGAACUUGCCACAAGCCAAAGUUAAUUCUCCCAUCGAAUUUUUCUAUUUCAAAUUUCACCGGACUUGAAAAUUUCAAUCCUGACAUAUUUGCUUUGCAGAUAAGCUUUUACUCUUCACCACAGACUGUUUGGAUUGGCUCCCACUGCUUCACGUGAAUAGUACCGUAUACGUGAACAGUACCGUAUACGUGAACAGUGCCCCGACACCAAAACUUAAAUCAAUGGCUCUGAUUCCACUGUUAGGAAAUUGAGCUUCCUCCCAAGAUCACUCCAAGCAAUUUGUCAAGCAACAAAUUAACAGAAAAAUUUAAUGGAGAAUACACCAAUCACACAACACAAGAUUUACGUGGAAAACUCCAAAUCCGGAGAAAAACCACGGCCGUUGUCAAAAAGACAACCAGAGAAAAAAUAUUCACUAUGUGGAAAAUUAUUACAACCACACUCUCAGAAAUAAUUUUCUCUCACCUAAGCCCCAAAUACACCCCAAAGAAAUACUCUCUGAAUGAAGAAAAGAAGCCGAGGAUUAGAU